UACAGAGGGUGCAAGCGUUGUUCGAAAUUAUUGGGCGUAAAGCGCGUGUAGGCGGCCUUGCAAGUCGGGUGUGAAAGCCCUCAGCUCAACUGAGGAAGCGCGCCCGAAACUGCAGAGCUUGAGUACCGGAGAGGAUGGCGGAAUUCCCCAAGUAGAGGUGAAAUUCGUAGAUAUGGGGAGGAACACCGGUGGCGAAGGCGGCCAUCUGGACGGAUACUGACGCUGAGACGCGAAAGCGUGGGGAGCAAACAGG
rnacentral:rRNA from 1 species